UACAGAGGAUGCAAGCGUUAUCCGGAAUGAUUGGGCGUAAAGCGUCUGUAGGUGGCUUUUUAAGUCCGCCGUCAAAUCCCAGGGCUCAACUCUGGACAGGCGGUGGAAACUACCAAGCUGGAGUACGGUAGGGGCAGAGGGAAUUUCCGGUGGAGCGGUGAAAUGCGUAGAGAUCGGAAAGAACACCGGUGGCGAAGGCGCUCUGCUAGGCCGUAACUGACACUGAGGGACGAAAGCUAGGGGAGCGAAUGGG
rnacentral:rRNA from 1 species